GGGGACUGGACCCCAGUCUGAUCAUCAUGCUGCAUGGGCCUCUGCUCACAGGAAGACACCUACAUCAGGGUGCUUUUAGGUGGCAAACAACCCUGCCCCAAGGUCAAACUUAAAUUGUGUUGGAGGAAAACACUGUGCCUCAGGGGAGAGAGACACUCACAACAGAAACCUGUUCCAUUUCUUUCAUCGUCUCUUGGAGGCAGAGAAAAACCAAGAUCAAGGAGAAACCCUCUCCUUGCUGCCAGCCUUGACCCCAAUGCCCAGCAAAAGGAAUCACAGCUUGUGGACUGAAAUAUGUCUCUGCUGAAUAUUCACCAGCACCAAAGGCAGCUGACAUCCCCAAAACUUCUGGGAGGCUUUUGCAGAGGUUCACACAAUUCUCCAGAGCCUGACCAGCAGCAGCCAUUUCACUCAACGGUCCUUUGGGAGAAAAGAGGCAGCAGCCUCCAAGUA